CUGUGGCUGCCGGAUGGCCUCCCUCCGGAGCUCUCCUCUGCCCUUUUCUGGGUGAGGGGCUGCUAUUCUCCCUGCGGUGGUCCUCCGGGGGCUCCCAUGCCCUGGGGGGCCUCUGGAUGUCUGGGGUCCGGGCCUCCUCCGUGUCGGCUUUAUGUCCUUGGGGAUGGGGCUGUGGCUCCCCACACACACUACUAGACAUUUACAUGGAGUAACCUUUUGAACACCAGCGCGCUCACAUACACAGGUGUGCACACAGGGGUACAAACAGGUACUCACAGACACAUACAGGUGUACACACAGGUUCUCACAAACACACACAGGUGUACACACAGGUUCUCACAGACACACACAGGUGUACACACAGGUACUCACAGACACACACAGGUGUACACACAGGUACUCACAGACACACACAGGUGUACAAACAGGUUCUCACAGACACACGCAGGUGUACAAACAGGUACUCACAGACACACACAGGUGUACAAACAGGUUCUCACAGACACACACAGGUGUACAAACAGGUUCUCACAGACACAUACAGGUGUACACACAGGUUCUCACAGACACAUACAGGUGUACACACAGGUUCUCACAGACACACACAGGUGUACAAACAGGUUCUCACAGAC